GAUGAACGCUAGCGGCAGGCUUAACACAUGCAAGUCGAGGGGCAGCACGGGUAGCAAUACCUGGUGGCGACCGGCAAACGGGUGCGGAACACGUACACAAUCUACCUUUAUCUGGGGCAUAGCCCGAAGAAAUUCGGAUUAACACCCCAUAAAAUAUAGGGUUGGCAUCAACCUAAUAUUAAAACUCCGGUGGAUAGAGAUGAGUGUGCGUCCCAUUAGCUAGUUGGUAGGGUAAAGGCCUACCAAGGCGACGAUGGGUAGCUGGUGUGAGAGCACGACCAGCCACACGGGCACUGAGACACGGGCCCGACUCCUACGGGAGGCAG
rnacentral:rRNA from 1 species